rnacentral:rRNA from 1 species
AACGAACGCUGGCGGCAGGCUUAACACAUGCAAGUCGAGCGCCCCGCAAGGGGAUCGGCAGACGGGUGAGUAACGCGUGGGAACGUACCUUUUGGUUCGGAACAACUCCGGGAAACUGGAGCUAAUACCGGAUAAGCCCUAACGGGGAAAGAUUUAUCGCCGAAAGAUCGGCCCGCGUCUGAUUAGCUAGUUGGUGAGGUAACGGCUCACCAAGGCGACGAUCAGUAGCUGGUCUGAGAGGAUGAUCAGCCACACUGGGACUGAGACACGGCCCAGACUCCUACGGGAGGCAGCAGUGGGGAAUAUUGGACAAUGGGCGCAAGCCUGAUCAAGCCAUGCCGCGUGAGUGAUGAGGGCCUUAGGGUUGUAAAGCUCUUUUGUCCGGGAAGAUAAUGACUGUACCGGAAGAAUAAGCCCCGGCUAACUUCGUG